GACAUCUAAUUACAAAAAUAGAAGCCUUUUUGCAGGGAUUUUUCAUGACUUGAAUACAGGGCUAUAUUACAAUGACCUUUUGUAAUGAGGUAUUCGAAGAACGAGGCUAUAGACAUAUUCCACAAGUCAUGUUAAGCAGUGAUGCCCUAUUCUUAUCUGGUGUUGUGACAAAAUGGUGUCACUUUACCUUGCCCUUAAAACUUCAAGUCCUUUAAAACAGUUCACCACUUCAACAUUUCAAAUCAUAUAUAGUCUGCAGUCCAUUAAAGAUUUCCUUGUUGAGGAUGACUCUUCUCAGAUAAAAGUUACCUGAAAAGGGAAAGAAGAGCCAGCAGCAACAAAGAACAAUUUUAAACAUUUAUAAUAAAUACAUGGAUUUAACUUUUAAACACAAAUAAUAUAUAUUUAUGCAUUGUCAAUGUAAAUAAAUGGUUCGGUUACGUCACCC